rnacentral:rRNA from 1 species
UACGAAGGGGGGCUAGCGUUGUUCGGAAUUACUGGGCGUAAAGCGCGCGUAGGCGGACCUGCAAGUCGGGGGGUGAAAGCCCGAGGCUCAACCUCGGAACUGCCUUCGAUACUGCGGGUCUCGAGUCCGGGAGAGGUGAGUGGAAUUCCUAGUGUAGAGGUGAAAUUCGUAGAUAUUAGGAAGAACACCAGUGGCGAAGGCGGCUCACUGGCCCGGUACUGACGCUGAGGCGCGAAAGCGUGGGGGAGCAAACAGG